UACUGUUCUCUGCAAAAAAUAUCAGUUGGGUGUUAGGGUAAUUGAUCUCUAGGAAAAGUUUCAAUGGUUGAGCUGUUACGUUUGAAUUCCCUGCUUUUUGUUUAUUUUCGAUUUCAAGUUAUACGGGGGGCUGAAAAUCGUUGCCAGCUGACAGCAUUGGCGUCAACUACGCAUGCUCAUAAUUUGACAAAUUAUUGCUGUGACCUCUACAGGUGGUCACAACGAACUACCAACUCCGACCAUUAACAUUUUCGUGAAGCCUCUAUAGAGUAUACGGUCAUUUUCAUCAGUACUUAAGGGUGGUGGAAUAUUACAUGCAUGCUAUCAGUAUGGAAUUUGGGAUAGGCAAAAGUGCAACAGUCCAUCUGAUACAGAGAUCAUGGGAAGGAUGUACAUCUCGUAGACGGAAGCAUUCUUCACCAUCUGGAUGCCUGAGAGACUUUUAUAUGAUAAAUGAAAUCUGCUUCAAUCCUGUUCAAAUAUUUGGCACAUAGUUUAGGAGAUAAAAAGUUAUUUCUUUGUAAACCAAUAUUCUGGGAGUUGUGGUUGUUUAAUGUUAGCUCUUUCUUCUGGUUUCUUUAUCUUCACCUUGUAAUGAAAGCUGGCCAGCUAGACUCUGUAACUUUGAAUUUGUGAUAAAUGUAGCCAGCUUAAUUUUUUCAAUCACCAAUCGUCUCGUAAAAGUAACCAAAUAAUUUACUUCGGGAAGUAGAUAAUUGAAGGUUGUAAAAUUGGACUUGUACGACAGAAUUAAGACAAUGUGCUCAAAAUAAAUAAUUUACUUUUCACAUCUGAAGAGUAAUAAAAUAUUUAGUGAUAUAUAAUAAAUAUCUGCAUAUUUUUUCAAUUAAGUAAAUAUAUAAUGUAUUAAUAGGUGUGUGAAUAAAAACAUUUCAUUGAAGUAAAAUUUAUCACAACCUAGUUUGUCGAAGACUUUCUGGUGGUUAAUAUAAAAGUUUUGAAAAUA